rnacentral:rRNA from 1 species
CACGUAGGGGACGAGCGUUGUCCGGAUUCAUUGGGCGUAAAGGGUGCGUAGGCGGCGCGGUAAGUCGGGUGUGAAAUCUCGGGGCUUAACUCCGAAACUGCAUUCGAUACUGCCGUGCUUGAGGACUGGAGAGGAGACUGGAAUUUACGGUGUAGCGGUGAAAUGCGUAGAUAUCGUAAGGAAGACCAGUGGCGAAGGCGGGUCUCUGGACAGUUCCUGACGCUGAGGCACGAAGGCCAGGGGAGCAAACGGG